UACGGGGGGAGCAAGCGUUGUUCGGAUUUACUGGGCGUAAAGGGCGCGUAGGCGGCCACCGCAAGUCGACUGUGAAAUCUCCGGGCUUAACCCGGAAAGGUCAGCCGAUACUGCGGGGCUAGAGUGCAGAAGGGGCAACUGGAAUUCUCGGUGUAGCGGUGAAAUUCGUAGAUAUUCGCAAGAACACCAGUGGCGAAGGCGGCUCACUGGCCCGAUACUGACGCUGAGGUGCGAAAGCGUGGGGAGCAAACAGG
rnacentral:rRNA from 1 species